GAACUGCUGAACAGGCCUCAUGCUACGAAGGCGUGGGGCGCAGGCAUGACAAGCGUGAGCCGCGUCGUUUCCAAACAAGUCGAGCCUGCAGAACAAGAACAAGCUUUGCACCCAAGCAGGCAAACCCCUGUCCCGCCUGGACAUCACUGACCUGGUGGUCUACGUCCCCAGCCUUCCAGGGAGACCUGGAAAGAAUAUUCAAACAAGAGCAAAAGACAAAAGUCGCUUGGCCCACGGCACCAUCUGGCAUUUCUCCUGCGCGGACACCAGAGGGCUGACGCGUGCUCCCGCGACGGCACGUCACCCACUGAGGCUGGAAGCAACGCGGGACGAGUCCAUGCGGUGGCACAGAGGACGGACACGGAGCAGGGUCCGUGCGGGACAGGACCCCUCUCGCAGACCCUAGCACCUCUCAGCAGUCACAGCCCCGCCCGGGCACCAGGGAAGCCUGAGACAGCGUCACAACUGUGCGUGGCCUUUCCUCACCGUGGACGGGGUGGGGACAGGCUACGGAAGCCAAGGCACAGAGACCACACCAGCGUGAGGAGACUCGGCUGCCCCCAGAACCACUGGGCGGGAAGCCUGCUUCGGGGCCCGGAACCAGCAGCUCAGGCCACACGGGGAUAAGCGGGAACAGCCAAGCAGGAACAGCCAAGCAGGACACACUUAUGACACUUUAGCACACAGAGCGUGUGGCCAGCUGGGCUGCCGUGAAGGCCAGCUAGGCCUCUCCUCACUAAGAAAACCCAGAAGUAUGCGUA